rnacentral:piRNA from 1 species
UAGCAUGUAUGAUAUUCAGCAGUCAA